UACGUAGGUGGCAAGCGUUGUCCGGAUUUAUUGGGUUUAAAGGGUGCGUAGGCGGGCUUUUAAGUCAGCGGUAAAAAUUCGGGGCUCAACCCCGUCCGGCCGUUGAAACUGGGGGCCUUGAGUGGGCGAGAAGAAGGCGGAAUGCGUGGUGUAGCGGUGAAAUGCAUAGAUAUCACGCAGAACCCCGAUUGCGAAGGCAGCCUUCCGGCGCCCUACUGACGCUGAGGCACGAAAGUGCGGGGAUCGAACAGG
rnacentral:rRNA from 1 species